rnacentral:lncRNA from 1 species
CUCAUUUUGAACUUGUCUGUGCACAGCAUCAAGUGUGCUCCUGGAAGAGAGGCAACGGCGAGGAAAUUCUAAAAGACGGAGUCCUAGUCUCAGAAGAAGUCGCCUGCAAUGUUGAGAGACAGAAAGAAAAUCCCUGGAGAUUCCACGUCUAACCCAGGCUAAAGGCGAAGCUCUACAGCGGUGUGUAGGAUAUCUCUCUCGCUCACUAUAGCCCUUGCCACCGAAGUACCAGACGCUUUUAGUGUGUGAAAGACAGGCGUUGAUUUAAUGUAUCUGGAAGGCAGAGGGGAUGGAGGAUGCAACUUAAUAAAUAUUCCUCUAUUUUCGCUCAUGAAAACAUCCAAAACAUCUUUCGGCGUUCGCAUUUAAUGACUGCAACGUGAAGGAUGGAGGUGAGAAGCAGUCGAGGGAAUGGCUCGUUUCUCUUGGUGUUGGCUCGGAAUUGUCAAACAGUUACUUUCUGUUCAUUGUAGGGAAAUAGGUCACACUUUGAGUGAAAAGGACAGUUGGUUCAAGCCAAUAACCCUUUGUUCAAGUGCUGUUUGACAGUCACUGAGCAGAACAUCGUUGCGUGAAGUUUCAUCUCCUGUCCAGUACCUUUAGAUACAUUAUUAAAUCCCAAAGUCAUAUUCCACGGAGCGCCUGGACGGAAUAUUUCGUCGAAAUGCGUCUUGCCAACCAACGUGUUAGCUCCCGUAAGGAAGCCUGCUGGCCUGGCCCGAGAACCCAGCCGCCAGGAUGGACACGAAUCCCUCAUUAGCAGUUCCAACUUGAAAAGCCAACUGGGCUGAUCCAACACCACCAUCCAGGAGAUACCCAAAAGCUCAAAAGUGGUAUCUAUGCAUAAAGAAGACAACAACAUGAAGCUGAGAUUGAUUCCUGUUGGUACUGAAUCAGAACUCAUGGAAACAAGUAAUUCUCCUUGGAAAUUAUCACCUAUCAGGUCACCAUCAAACCAAUGCUCAAAGCAAGGCACCUUGAAGAGACACUGAUGGUGAAAAGGAAUUGAACUCAAUGGGAAAGCACACCACCAUGAAGCAGCUACCGUGCAAGGGCAGCAAGUGAAUCCAGGAGAAGUCUGUCUCCAAGAAGGGGAGCAAGGAAGGCCUAAAUGCUCAUUUGUAAAGGAAGUAUUUGAAAUGUUACACUUCCCCUUUUUUUUCUAAACUGUUCUCUUGGGAAGCAUUCUUAUAGAAAUUUAAGAAAAAAUGACUGGGAAUUUAUAUUGUUGAUAUGGGCACCACCACGUCAAGGACCCCAAUGCCUCAGAUCUAUGCAAAUGGUAAAGCUUCCAUGGUUCGGAGAAAUGGCAAAGCCUUCCACUCUCCCGAGUACCAAUAUUGACAGCUGCUCUUGUCAACCAAUAUUGUUCUUCAGUUAAUGCCAGUGUAGAGUUAGCACCCACCAGAACCAUGGCUUCCUCCUCCUGCAUAUUUACAGCUUAAGUCUGCCCUGCUAUGUAGACCUCCCACUCAGACAAGCUAACCCCUAAGUGGUGGUUUGAAUGAGAAUGACCCCUAUACAAUCAUACAGUUGAAUGUUUCCCGCUCCCCCCAGUUGGUAAAUCUGCUUGGGAAGGAUGAGGAGGUGUGGACUUGGAGGACGUGUGUCACUGGAGGUGGGCUCUGAGGUUUCAAAAGCCCCCACCUUUUCCAAGUAGAAUCUCUCUGCCUAGUGCUUGUGGAUCAGAUAUAAACUCUCAACUGCAGUGCCUACCUGCCUGUUGCCAUGUUCCAAGCCACGAUAGACAUGGACUCACCCUCUGAAACUGUAAGCAAAUCUUCAAUAAAAUACCUUCUUCUAU